rnacentral:lncRNA from 1 species
GCGCGGGGGGUGCGCCGGGGGCUGGGGGCUCUGGAGCUGCGGGCGGCGGCGCUGGAGCAGCUCCAGGAGAGGGCGCUGGGAACGCCCCUCCCCCCACCCGGUGAGAGACACAGAGAGAGAGGGGGAGGGGGAGGGGAAAAACGGGAAUUCUGGGAAAAAAACCGGGAAUUCUGGGAAAAACCGGGAAUUCUGGGAAUUCUGGGAAAAAAACCGGGAAUUCUGGGAAAAAACCGGGAAUUCUGGGAAAAACACCGGGAAUUCUGGGAAAAAAAUGGGAAUUCUGGGAAAAAUCAUGGGAAUUCUGGGAAAUCUGGGAAAAAACCGGGAAUUCUGGGAAAAAAAACCGGGAAUUCUGGGAAUUCUGGGAAAAAAAAACGGGAAUUCUGGGAAAAAACCGGGAAUUCUGGGAAAAAAAACGGGAAUUCUGGGAAAAAUCCUGGGAAAAAAACCGGGAAUUCUGGGGAAAAAACCGGGAAUUCUGGGAAUUCUGGGAAAAACACCGGGAAUUCUGGGGAAAAUCCCGGGAAUUCUGGGAAAAAAAUGGGAAUUCUGGGAAAUCUGGGAAAAAACUGGGAAUUCUGGGAAAUAUCACGGGAAUUCUGGGAAAAAACUGGGAAUUCUGGGGAAAAAAACGGGAAUUCUGGGAAUUCUGGGAAAAAAAUGGGAAUUCUGGGAAAAAACCGGGAAUUCUGGGAAAAAACCGGGAAUUCGGGGAAAAAACCGGGAAUUCUGGGGAAAAAAUGGGAAUUCUGGGAAAAAAAAAUGGGAAUUCUGGGGAAAAAACGGGAAUUCUGGGAAAUAUCACGGGAAUUCUGGGAAAUCUGGGAAAAACCCUGGGAAAUCUGGGAAAAAACCGGGAAUUCUGGGAAAAAUCACGGGAAUUCUGGGGAAAAAUCCCGGGAAUUUUGGGAAUUUUGGGGGAAUUCUGGGAAAAAUCCUGGGAAUUCUGGGAAAAAAACCGGGAAUUCUGGGAAAAAAACCGGGAAUUCUGGGGAAAAACCGGGAAUUCUGGGGAAAAAAUGGGAAUUCUGGGAAAAAAACCGGGAAUUUUGGGAAUUCUGGGAAAAAACCGGGAAUUCUGGGAAAUAUCACGGGAAUUCUGGGAAAAAAACAGGAAUUCUGGGGAAAAAACGGGAAUUUUGGGAAUUCUGGGGGAAUUCUGGGAAAAAUCCUGGGAUUUCUGGGAAUUCUGGGGGAAUUCGGGGAAAAAUCCCGGGGAUUCUGGGGAAAAUCCUGGGAAUUUUGGGAAAUCUGGGGAAUUUUGGGGGGAAUUCUGGGGGAAAUCCCGGGAAUUCUGGGAAAAAAUCCUGGGAAUUCUGGGGGAAUUUUGGGAAUUCUGGGGGAAUUCUGGGGUAAUUUGGGGAAAAAUCCCGGGAAUUCGGGAGAAUUCUGGGAAUUCUGGGGGAAUUCGGGGAAAAAUCCUGGGAAUUCUGGGAAUUCUGGGAAUUUGGGGGGAAUUUUGGGGGGAAUUUUGGGGGGAAUUCUGGGAAUUCUGGGGGAANNNNNNNNNNNNNNNNNNNNCGGCGCUGGAGCAGCUCCAGGAGAGGGCGCUGGGAACGCCCCUCCCCCCACCCGAGCUCCAGCAGGAUCUGCAGCGACUCCGGGACGAGAUCCAGGAACUGACGCGGGAAAUCCGGGGGGGGCUGAGAGGUAACCCCAAAACACCCCAAAACACCCCAAAAACACCCCAAAAACACCCCAAAACCACCCCAAAAUCACCCCAAAACACCCCAAAAACACCCCAAAAUCACCCAAAAUCACCCCAAAACACCCAAAAAUACCCCAAAAACCCCAAAAUCACCCCAAAACACCCAAAAACACCCAAAAACACCCCAAAACACCCCAAAAUCACCCAAAAUCACCCAAAACCAGCCCAAAACAGCCCAAAACAGCCCAAAACACCCAGAAUCACCCCAAAAAUAUCCCAAAAUCACCCCAAAAUAACCCCAAAACACCCCAAAAUCACCCAAAAAUCACCCAAAAAUCCACCCAAAAUCACCCAAAAUCACCCAAAAAUCAGCCAAAAUCACCCCAAAAAAACCAAAAAACCCCAAAAUCACCCCCAAAUCACCCAAAACACCCCAAAAUCACCCCCAAAUCACCCAAAACACCCCCAAACCACCCCAAAACCACCCCAAAAACACCCCAAAACCACCCCAAAAACACCCCAAAAACACCCCAAAACACCCCCAAAAAUCCCCAAAAUUCACCCAAAAACACCCCAAACCACCCAAAACAGCCCAAAAUCACCCAAAAACACCCAAAAUCACCCCAAAAACACCCAAAAAACCCCAAAAUAUCCCAAAAACCCCCCCAAAAAAUCCAAAAACAUCCCAAAAUCACCCAAAACACCCCAAAAACACCCCAAAAAUCCCCAAAACCCCCAAAACCCCCAAAAUAUCCCAAAACCACCCAAAACCACCCAAAAAACCCCCCCAAAAUCCCCAAAAUUCCCCAAAAUCACCCCAAAACCCCAAAAAAACCCACAAAAAUCCCCCAAAUCACCCCAAAACCACCAAAAAAUCCCCAAAAUUCCCCAAAAUUCCCCAAAAACACCCCAAAGCCACCCAAAAUAUCCAAAAAAGCCCCAAAAUCUCUUAAAAACCCCCCAAAAAACCCCCCAAAAAUCCCCAAAAUAUCCCAAAAACACCCAAAAAAACCCCCCAAAUCACCCAAAACCACCCAAAAUCACCCCAAAAUCACCCCAAAAUCCCAAAACAAUCCCCAAAAUUCCCAAAAAACACCCCAAAAACACCCCAAAAUCACCCAAAAUCACCCAAAAAUCCCCCCAAAUUCACCCAAAACACCCCAAAAUCACCCAAAAAACCCCAAAAUUCCCAAAAUCCCCAAAUUUCCCAAUUUUUGGGGUCUUUUUUCCCCAUUUUUGAGGUCCCAGAUCCCAAAUUUUGGGGUUUUUUCCCAAAUUUUGGGGUUUUUUCCCCAUUUUUUGUUUCCUUUCCCCAAAUUUUGGGUUUUUUUCCCAAAUUUUGCCUCUUUUUCCCCAUUUUUGGGGUCCCAGAUCCCAAAUUUUGGGGUUUUUCCCCCAUUUUUGGGGUUAUUUCCCCAUUUUUGGGUUUUUUCCCCAUUUUUGAGGUCUCAGAUCCCAAAUUUUGGGGUUUUUUCCCCAAAUUUUUGGAUUUUUUCCCCAAAUUUUGGGGUUUUUUCCCCAUUUUUGGGGUCCCAGAUCCCAAAUUUUGGGUUUUUUUUCCCAAAUUUGGGGGUUUUUCCCCAUUUUUGGGCUCCUUUUCCCAAAUUUUGGGGUUUUUUUCCCCAUUUUUUGUUUUCUUUUCCCAAAUUUUGGGGUUUUUUCCCCAAAUUUUGGGGUUUUUUCCCCAUUUUUGGCGUUUUUUCCCCAUUUUUGUGGUCCCAAAUCCCAAAUUUUGGGGUUUUUUUCCCAAAUUUGGGGUUUUUUCCCCAUUUUUGGGUUCCUUUUCCCAAAUUUUGGGGUUUUUCCCCCAUUUUUGUGGUCCCAGAUCCCAAAUUUUGGGGUUUUCCCCCCAUUUUUUUGGGUUUUUUCCCAAAUUUGGGUGUUUUUUCCCCAUUUUUUGUUUCCUUUUCCCAAAUUUUUGGGGUUUUUCCCCAAAUUUUGGGUUUUUUCCCCAAAUUUUGGGGUUUUUCCCCCAUUUUUGGGGUCCCAGAUCCCAAAUUUUGGGGUUUUUUCCCCAAAUUUUGGGGUUUUUUCCCCAUUUUUGGCGUUUUUUCCCCAUUUUUGUGGUCCCAAAUCCCAAAUUUUGGGGUUUUUUUCCCAAAUUUGGGGUUUUUUCCCCAUUUUUGGGUUCCUUUUCCCAAAUUUUGGGGUUUUUCCCCCAUUUUUGUGGUCCCAGAUCCCAAAUUUUGGGGUUUUCCCCCCAUUUUUUUGGGUUUUUUCCCAAAUUUGGGUGUUUUUUC